GCAGCCACUCAUUCAAAGAGUGCGUAAUAGCUCACUGGUCGAGUGAUCCUGCGCCGAAGAUUUCCGGGGCUAAAACUUACUACCGAAGCUACGGCAUCAGUAAUGAUGGGUAGGGGAGCUUCCCAUACGGGUUGAAGCAUGACCGUAAGGACAUGUGGACAGUAUGGGAGUGAGAAUGUUGGCAUGAGUAGCGAGAUGUGGGUGAGAAUCCCACAGGCCGUAAACCCAAGGUUUCCAGGGGAAGGUUCGUCCGCCCUGGGUUAGUCGGGACCUAAGCUGAGGCCGAAAGGCGUAGGUGAUGGACAACAGGUUGAUAUUCCUGUACUACCGAUAACCAUUUGAGAGAAGGGAUGACACAGUAGGAUAAGCUAAGCACACUGUUGGUUAUGUGUGCCCAAGCAUUGAGGCAGUCAAAGUAGGCAAAUCCGCUUUGAUAAUGCUGGGAUGUGAUGGGGAGCGAAAUUUAGUAGCGAAGUAGCUGAUUUCACACUGUCAAGAAAAGUCUCUAUCGAGGUUAAAGGUACCCGUACCGCAAACCGACACAGGUGGGUGAGGAGAGUAUCCUAAGGCCA
rnacentral:rRNA from 1 species